rnacentral:rRNA from 1 species
UAGAGUUUGAUCCUGGCUCAGAUUGAACGCUGGCGGCAGGCCUAACACAUGCAAGUCGAACGGUGGCACAGAGAGCUUGCUCUCGGGUGACGAGUGGCGGACGGGUGAGUAAUGCCUGGGAAACUGCCUGAUGGAGGGGGAUAACUACUGGAAACGGUAGCUAAUACCGCAUAACGUCGCAAGACCAAAGAGGGGGACCUUCGGGCCUCUUGCCAUCAGAUGUGCCCAGAUGGGAUUAGCUAGUAGGUGGGGUAAUGGCUCACCUAGGCGACGAUCCCUAGCUGGUCUGAGAGGAUGACCAGCCACACUGGAACUGAGACACGGUCCAGACUCCUACGGGAGGCAGCAGUGGGGAAUAUUGCACAAUGGGCGCAAGCCUGAUGCAGCCAUGCCGCGUGUA